rnacentral:rRNA from 1 species
ACGAGCGAGAGAGAGCUUGCUUUCUCGAGCGAGUGGCGAACGGGUGAGUAACGCGUGAGGAACCUGCCUCAAAGAGGGGGACAACAGUUGGAAACGACUGCUAAUACCGCAUAAGCCCACGGGUCGGCAUCGACCAGAGGGAAAAGGAGCAAUCCGCUUUGAGAUGGCCUCGCGUCCGAUUAGCUAGUUGGUGAGGUAACGGCCCACCAAGGCGACGAUCGGUAGCCGGACUGAGAGGUUGAACGGCCACAUUGGGACUGAGACACGGCCCAGACUCCUACGGGAGGCAGCAGUGGGGAAUAUUGCACAAUGGGGGAAACCCUGAUGCAGCGACGCCGCGUGGAGGAAGAAGGUCUUCGGAUUGUAAACUCCUGUUGUUGGGGAAGAUAAUGACGGUACCCAACAAGGAAGUGACGGCUAACUACGUGCCAGCAGCCGCGGUAAAACGUAGGUCACAAGCGUUGUCCGGAAUUACUGGGUGUAAAGGGAGCGCAGGCGGGAAGACAAGUUGGAAGUGAAAUCUAUGGGCUCAACCCAUAAACUGCUUUCAAAACUGUUUUUCUUGAGUAGUGCAGAGGUAGGCGGAAUUCCCGGUGUAGCGGUGGAAUGCGUAGAUAUCGGGAGGAACACCAGUGGCGAAGGCGGCCUACUGGGCACCAACUG